AGUUGUAAUUUGUAGAGGAUGCUUCUGGCGACGUGCCUUCCGAGUUCCCUGGAACGGGACGCCAUAGAGGGUGAGAGCCCCGUCCGGUCGUGCACCUAGCCUCUGUGAAGCUCCUUCGACGAGUCGAGUAGUUUGGGAAUGCUGCUCUAAAUGGGAGGUAUACGUCUUCUAAAGCUAAAUACCGGCCAGAGACCGAUAGCGCACAAGUAGAGUGAUCGAAAGAUGAAAAGCACUUUGAAAAGAGGGUUAAAUAGUACGUGAAAUUGCUGAAAGGGAAGCGCUUAUGACCAGACUUGG
rnacentral:rRNA from 12 species